GACGAACGCUGGCGGCGUGCUUAACACAUGCAAGUCGUACGGUAAGGCCCUUUCGGGGGUACACGAGUGGCGAACGGGGGAGUAACACGUGAGUAACCUGCCCACAACUUUGGGAUAACGCUAGGAAACUGGUGCUAAUACUGGAAAUGUGCUCCUGCUGCAUGGGGGGGGUUGGAAAGCUCCGGCGGUUGUGGAUGGACUCGCGGCCUAUCAGCUUGUUGGUGGGGUAGUGGCCUACCAAAGCGGCGACGGGUAGCCGGCCUGAGGGGGUGACCGGCGACAUUGAGACCGAGAUACGGCACCGACUCCUAAGGGAGGCAGCAGUGGGGAAUAUUGCACAAUGGGCGCAAGCCUGAUGCAGAAACGCUGCGUGCGGGAUGACGGCCUUCGGGUUGUAAACCGCUUUCAGCAGGGACGAAGCUUUUUGUGACGGUACCUGCAGAAGAAGCACCGGCUAACUACGUG
rnacentral:rRNA from 1 species